AAGAGGCAGAGCACAAAAAGCUGGAACUGAUGAAGGACAUAAAGGAACAGCAAACUCGUCUCCUGCACUACACCAAACAACUGCAGCAGCAACAGACGCAGCUAGACAACAUACACUCAGAGACACACAAAUGGGAACUGAAACGAGAAGAAUUGCGUUCCACUGCGGAGAGAGAGGAGCUCCAGUACGCUCAGAUAAAGGUCAGGAUUCGUCAAUUUAUCAACUGAUCGCACCUUACUGGAGAGAGUCUGUGGAUAUUGAAGACCCCUUCAAGCAGCUGCAACUGAUCCGGAAACAUUUUCAGCUUGGUGAGAGCUAUAUCUGAAGAUCGAAAUGUGAUGAAAAGUCCUGGCAGGUGGAACUGAAGAGAAACGAC